rnacentral:rRNA from 1 species
UCGUCGAUCCCGUGAGAGGCUUGCUCCCAGGGGGAAGUGGAGAAAGGGGCAGUAAUGCGUGGGUAACCUACCCCGGGGAUCGGGAUAGCCGUCCUAACGGACGGGUAAUACCGGGCGAUGUGCCGAGGGGACAUCUCCUUGUCACGAAAUGAGUUUCGCCUCGGGAGGGGCUCAUGUGGUAUUAGCUUGUUGGUGAGGUAACGGCUCACCAAGGCCAAGAUGCCUAGCGGGUGUGAGAGCACGACCCGCGCCACUGGCACUGAGACACUGGCCAGACUCCUACGGGAGGCUGCAGUCGAGGAUCUUCGGCAAUGGGCGCAAGCCUGACCGAGCGACGCCGCGUGUGCGAUGAAGGCCUUCGGGUUGUAAAGCACUGUCGAGGGGGAGGAAAGCCCGCAAGGGCCUGACCUAUCCCUGGAGGAAGCACGGGCUAAGUUCGUGCCAGCAGCCGCGGUAAGACGAACCGUGCGAACGUUGUUCGGAUUCACUGGGCUUAAAGGGCGCGUAGGCGGGCGGUCAAGUCAGGGGUGAAAUCUUUCGGCUCAACCGGAAAAGUGCCUUUGAUACUGGCCGUCUCGAGGGAGGUAGGGGCAUGCGGAACUUCCGGUGGAGCGGUGAAAUGCGUAGAUAUCGGAAGGAACGCCGGUGGCGAAAGCGGCGUGCUGGACCUCUUCUGACGCUGAGGCGCGAAAGCCAGGGGAGCAAACGGGAUUAGAUACCCCGGUAGUCCUGGCCCUAAACGAUGGGCACUAGGUUGUGGACUUAACAUGGGUUCACAGCCGAAGCAAAAGUGUUAAGUGCCCCGCCUGGGGAGUAUGGUCGCAAGGCUGAAACUCAAAGGAAUUGACGGGGGCUCACACAAGCGGUGGAGCAUGUGGCUUAAUUCGAG